UGGGGGAUAUUGCACAAUGGGCGAAAGCCUGAUGCAGCGACGCCGCGUGGGGGAUGAAGGCUUUCGGGUUGUAAACCUCUUUCGCUAUCGAACAAGGCCCGCUUAGGGUGGGUUGAGGGUCGGUGGAGAAGAAGCGCCGGCUAACUACGUGCCAGCAGCCGCGGUAAUACGUAGGGCGCGAGCGUUGUCCGGUAUUAUUGGGCGUAAAGGGCUGGUAGGCGGCUUGUUGCGCCUGCUGUGAAAACGCGGGGCUUAACUUCGCGCGUGAAGUGGGUACGGGCAGGCUUGAGUGUGGUAGGGGUGACUGGAAUUCCAGGUGUAGCGGUGGAAUGCGCAGAUAUCUGGAGGAACACCGAUGGGGAGGGCAGGUCACUGGGCCAUUACUGACGCUGAGGAGCGAAAGCAUGGGUAGCGAACAGG
rnacentral:rRNA from 1 species